CCCGCCCCCAGGAGUGCGUUGGGCGAGGCGGAUCUGACCGAGGAGCCCAAACUGCUCCUGGGGAAAACAGCCGUGAGAAUUCAUAGCGAAGGGGCCUGCAAACGCGGAAAUCAGGCAGACUCCGUCUCCAGGGGAAAGGGAGGGGUCGUGAGAAGGCACAUCAGCAUGCGGCGCUGGGCAGGCCAGUGGGACUCAGGUCCCAGGGGACAUCCAGCUGGCCUGGGAGGUGGCCCUCCUGGAGGGUGGCCCGGGGGUCAGGAGCACAGCCAACACCUAGGAGCUCCGUAGCCUUGGAGACCCGUGGUUGCUCCUUUCCCACCUGGCCGGGAGGCCCUGGCCGCAGUGUCACAGCUCAGCCCUGGGAGCCACACAGGGUCCAGCCAGGUGACACAGCUGAGUGGCCCAGGUGUCCAGGGUGCAGCACGGCCGGGCCCUCGGCACACAGAAGCUGCUCAGUGGUGCUCACAGGCGGCGUCCCGGGGUAUGGUGGGCAGGAAGCUGGGCUGGGUCCCUGCAGGACAGGGGGUGAUGAGUGACACCUACCUGUGCCAGGCGGGGGCCAGCAGGGGACACUGGCUGUCUGGAGUCACACACUCCCCUCCUGCCCUUGGUGACAAGAAAUGCCACACUAGGCAGCAGCUGGUGUGGCAUCGAGUGUGUCAGGGGACUCAGUGCCACAGGGUCCCCAGCUGUGACAAGGGGACAGGAAAGGAGAAAAGAAGGGCGGGUGCUCGAAGGACCUCAGUGCCAGCUGGCGAGUCUUGGUGUGCUGGUGGGGCCUGGGCCCUGCUGGCCCCGUGUCCUGCGGGGCCCAGCACUCAGCACACCUGCAGGGGUCCACUCGUCCCAGUAGGGACGUCCCUAGUCCCAAGCCCUGUGAUCCGGGCUCCCCCUCUCCCGCUGGGUCAGGGCCCUGUUUUCAGUUCACCAUGGGGCGUGGUCCCAGGGCUGCUGGUGGUGGCCUGGGUGGUGGCACAACCCCGCUGGAGGCCUGCUGAGGGACUGUGACCAACCCGCAGCGGGGAGCGGGUCUGUGUGCCAGCGCCUGGCUGUGUCCCACCUGGGGAGGGUCCGGGCACGGGUGCCCCAUGUGAGUGCUGGCUUCCAGGUGGGCGUUGGGGCAGGGCCAGGCGGGGUGCCCAUGUGCUGCGCAGGCUGGCGUGUGAGGCCGCGCGUCCUUGGGUGACAGCAGCCCUCCGAGCCUCUGCACGUUGGGGCUGGAAGAGUGACAGCAGCGGUGUUUGGGAGGGUCCCAGGGACGCAUGGUGGCCGGGAUUCUGCCUGCUUCCACCCUCUCUCUGGACCUGCUCCGGCUCCGCCCUGACCUGGCUCUGCGGCUUCCUGGCCCAGCUGGACCUGCGUUCUCCAGCCCCAGAACAUUCCAGCCUCGCUCCUUCGGCAGACACCGGAGUGACUUCACUUUCCCGAGCACUGGAUUCCCUGGCCCUUCACGUACAGGAGCUGGCGGCCCUGGGGGCUGGGGACGUGUCCUUGGAGAGCUGACCUGGCCAGUGCUUCUUACCCCAGGACUCGGCUGCCUUGACCGCCACUUGGGUGAGCAGUCAGCCCCCCCCCCCCCCAGACAGGCCUUGCCGUGUGCUCCCUGGUACUUCGGAAACGCUGGCGUUGAAGUCUGCCCUGUGCCCCGGCGAUUCCUGCCUGUGCCCCUGUGACAUUCGAUCCCCCUGAACAAGUGCUUCGGCUACGGUCUUUCUUGGUUUGAUUCCAGCACGUGGAGCUUUUAACCAUCUUCCCACAUGAACAGCCACCCACAGCUCCCAGAGUGGCUGGUGCUUCCCUGCGGGAAGCCGGAGCACCUCCCUGUGCACAGAGGACCUCCCUGUGCCCCUGCCUUCAGGACCACAACGCUGCCUCCUGUCAAGGAAGGAGUCCCUCUCCCUCGAGCCGGGCUUGACUGUGGUCAGCCUGACUCUGACGGUUCGGCUGGCCUGAGGCUCCACGGUCUGGGGCAGGGCACAGGAAUGAGGGCGGGUCGGGCGCCAGCUCCGCUGCACACUUGGACCUCUCACUAGUGCCACUGGUUUGCUGAAGCCGAUUCACUUCUACACAGAGUGGGACAGGUGCAGUGAGCUCCCUUGACCUGCUCCAAGCAUGGAGAAAGCUCUGGACCUCACAGUGGUCAUGCAGGGGACACUGGACACUUGGGGUCCCCAAAGUGAGGCAGGAGCACCAGCUUCCUGGGCUGUUGCAACAAGCACCCCAAACUGGGGCUCCAAACAGUGGCGAUUCCUGCUCACAGGGGCAGGGGGUGCGGGCAGGGCCGGAGCUCCUGGAGGCCCUAGAGCCUGUCCCUUGUCCGUCUCUUCCUUCUGGUGGCUGCUGACCGGCCUUGCGAUCCCGUAUGCAUCACUGUGACCCCUGCCCACUCUCACGUGCUUCUCCCUGUGUCUGUGUCCUGCCUUCCUCAUCCUGGGACACCAGCGGCUGGACACUGCCCGCAAGGCUGCCUGCAGGACCUCCUCCUAGCCUGACCACAGCCACAGAGGUCUGUUUCCAACAAGCUCACUCUCAAGGGGCCGGGUCAGGGCUUCAGUGCACCUUCUAGGGAGACAUGAUUCAACCAAAACAGAGGGUACACGGAGGCCUGGCGCUGACUGUGGCCGUCACUACGGCUCUGCUCAGAGGCACGUCUUGGAAGUCCCACGGGAGCACAUGCAGGGCUGGUUUGAGCAUUGGGUGUCACCAUCCUGGGACAACCCGUGCUGGACUGCUCCUCCUGGGGACGUGGGAGCCCUCCCUGCAGAUAUCAGGCCAGGGCCAGCUGGAGGCUGCCCCUCUGGGGACAGUGUCCUUGGGCCACUGCAGGGAUGUCCCUCUGUCACGCUCUCGGUGACCUCUUCUUGGCCAUGUUGCUCCUGGGCCUUGGCUGCUUGUACCUCCUGGACCCCUCCCCAGAGCCCACCACCCCUGGGUCCCCUUCCCACAUUCUGCUCUUGGCCUUCCAGUGUCCUAUGACAGGGACGUCCCUGCAAUUGUUACCACAGUGUCACUUAUUCGGGUUCCUAAGGCGGGUUCCCCCCAUCCCCACACUCAUUUUGAAUUUCUAAUGCUCUUUUAUUGCAAGCAGCAGACACACCUUCCCUGUGCCCUGGGGCUCCCAGCUCCCUGGUCAGUCCAGGCUGUGGAGUCCACCCUUCAACUCUGGCCUCUUUUUCUUGUGCUGCUGGGGACCAGGGCUGGGAGCGGCGAGCUACGCCCCAGUCGCAGGGUGAAAUCCGCACGUCCAGGCCAUUCUCAGGUCAGCUGGUCUCCGUGUUGUGCUUCGUGCUCUUUAGGUUUUUAAGUCCUGGAAACGUCUCUGGUGACCCAGGCUCCUGCCAGAGGAGACACAGACCUGCCGGUGUCUGCUUCCAGGGGGCUUCUCCUCGUGGCCUGCUCUGGGCCUCGCUGCUCUGCUCCUGAGCAUGUGGCUUUGACCCUUGAUGGCAUCUCUCCCACUUGUCUCCCGGCCAGAAACACUUUGCUCUAAUAUCUGCAAAAGCAGCUGCGGGAGGACCCUGCUGGGAGCAGUGGGGACGUGCUCCCUGCCCAGCAGAGCCACGGCCCUCUCCUGGGGCGGAUGUGGGGACCGUGUCUUCUCUCCCACUGUUCAUGCAUCUGUGGGUUUUCCAAGGUCAAAUGCAGUUUAACUCCUGUGUGUGCGGGAGAGAUUGAUGGGCGCUGGCCUCCCGACAGGUUUGACAUCCACCAUUUGGUGUGCUUUUCAAAGGCUCCCACUUUUAAUCGUAGAGCACUGACAGGAGUUUUGGGGGCUUCCUUCUGUUGGGAAAUGUUCAUCCUUGGAAGCAGUGGUGGGGCCUCCCACACGCUGUCAGCGUGAGGAGUGGGGGGCCUGGCUGGUUGCGUGGCUGAUUCGGGGAACAGGGGUUUCCUCCCGCGUCCUGGGAGCCAGCCAGCCGGGUCCAGCAUGCCAGCCCGCGGGAGGGAGGCCGUGGAGGGCGGCCAGCAGGAACCAGCUCCCGGGUGAGUCCAGCUCUGCUCGGCCCAGGCCCAGCUGGCUUCUCUAAGGCCUCGCCUCCGACUUCCUUCAGGAAGAAGGAUCCGCCUCCUCUUGGACUCACAUGCUCACACGGCAACAGGACCAGCCACCUGCGUGGGGAGACGUGGUCCCCCCCCCCCCGCCACCUUCCUUCCAGUGUCCAUCCCAGUCCUGCUGUGGCAAGGACAUGCUGGGCCCCUCAUGGCCAGGGUCAGGGAGGGGUCAGAUAUAAUCCACCUCAGGGAGCUCUGGACGGGUCAGAGGAGGGAAGAUGUCCAAGGUCAGCUUGAACGAGCAGCAGUUCACAGGGGACAGGGCACCACUCAUCUCUUGACGUAGGAACUUCCGGCCCAGGGAAUGGCUCAAGCUGCCGGCUCAGGGCAGGAAGUGCAGGCUGGCUCCAUGUUCAAGGACAGCUUCGCCAAGAGCCCAAAGCUGGCCUGAGACAUCCUACGUGCCUGGCCCUGGUUCCUUGAGAUGGCGUGUGGGGACGGGGUGCAGAGCUGGGUGGACUGGGUGCCUUUGGAUUGGAUGGCCACAGAACAUCUGACUCUAAGUGAAGCCCAAGCCUGAGCCUGGCCGAUGGGCAGCCGUGGGGAGAACACUGUGGUCCUCAGAGAUGGCUCGGGCUGGAGAGGAUCUCUAGGGCACCCUGAGCUCUGAAGCACCGCGAUUCUACUUCCAGUGCAAGAGCGGGCCCUCUUACAGCCAGCCAGAGGGGCCUGGAAAUCUGACGUUCCACAGAACUAGCCCGAAGGAAGAAGCAAAACAGAACACCCUCAGCUACUCCCUGUUGGGUUCCGGACUCCACACAGUUGCAUAUGGACACAAUACCUCUAUUUUAUUUUUAUGUGUUGCUGAGGAUCAAACCCAGUGCCUCACAUGUGCAAGGCAAGUGCUCUACCACUGAGCUACAACCGCAGCUCUGUCAAUUUUAUAUUGGAAGGAAAAACCCUGUAAACCAACGUUGACCGCGAGCUAACACUAAGCAUGCGAGCUCCUCCUGCCCCACAGCCCCAGCCCUUGACCGCUGGCCUCCACUGGACUGGGCGUCGUGUGCCAGCUGGCACUCAAUUAAACAAGGAGGAAGCUGGCUGACCUGGGCACCAGGCUCUGUGCAAAAGGGAAGCCGAGCUUCUAGGGGCCCCCACAUUCCUGGCUCCUGGUCCCGUCCUCUACCUUACAGUCAGCGGCACAAGAGCUCCAUGACUCUCCGAAUCUGUCUUCAUUGUCACGUCUCCUCUGAAGUGGACCUUGCUGCCACCCUCCAGAGAUGCUGCGAUGACCCUGGGCCGCCUGGCUGUUCUUGGAGCUCACGUGGACUGAGGGAGGCUGCUUCGGAGGUGGGGGACACAGAACACCCUGAAUUUUCUCAGCGGAGCCCAAGUGAAGCCCAGUGAACUUUCUUUCAAGGCUGCUCUCGACUGUGACGUGAGGAUCUCACCCAGCGGUGGCCUGAGGGAGUGUGCUGAACCUAGAGGCUUUUUGCCCAGAGGCUGUUUGUCUGAGCCCUGAUUCCCCACUGGUGCCUACUGUGGGAACAGGCAGUCCCCCCACACACGCUUCCCCUUGAAGGCAAGCUCCUGUGACAUGUUUAGGCCUUGGCAUGAACAGCCACCAUGUGCCCAACAGGUGGGGACUCCUGGGAGAGUAGGUCCUCAAGAGGCUUAGUCUGGUGUGAGAGCCCCACUGAGCCAGGAACCCAGUAAUAAGUGACACUUCAUAAACAAGAAGUCACUUCCCAUUGAGACCUAGGAUUGGCCAGUUCUCCUUUGGUCUUUCCCCUGUCAGGCAGAAGGGAAGAAUAAGGGACCAAGGAGCUUGUAAGUCAUGUUUCUAUCUGCGCUGAGGGCUGAUCCUGACAGGUGUGUCCUCAGUGCUUUUAUGGGCUGUACGUGUGACUCAGGAAGCCCAGGGACUCCCCCAGCUGCCCGCCAGGCAGGGCCCUCUGAUGGGAAGUGGUAUCUGAUACUCAGUUUCCUUUCACACCAGUUUCUCUUGCAUCCCGCAGCUUCAGUGAGUCAGAAAAGCCCUCCUAGAAACUUCUGGUGCUUGGGCUUCUGCUGCUCAGGCUGGAGUGCCUGGGGACUGGUGUCCGUGAGCUGAAGGGUCCCCCGGACUGUGCUGCCUCAGCCCCUCCUCAGGACUCCAUGUUGAGCCUUGGCUCACGUGAGACAGCUCUUGCCUCUGCCACCAUCGAGAGACACCUUCUCUCUGGGCCACUGAUAGAGGAUCUCUGGGUUCCAGAACAGGGGCAAAAGCAGUUUAGGGACAGGCUUGAAGGCUGGGGUGUGGAGAGGGGAGAGCAGAGAGGAAUGGACUCAAAGGACACUGAAGUGAAAGGAAAAAACAUGAUCAGUGGGUCUCAGAGGGAGGUGGCUUUUGCUCCAUACCACAGUUUCCAAAGUCUGGAGACACUUUGGUUGUCAGAACUGGGGCUGCUUCUGGUGACUAGUGGGUCAAGGACAUCCUACAAUGCACAGGAUGUCUCCCUCUGCAAGGAUUGGGCCACCCCUCAUGCUGAUGGUGUCACGGCUGGAUACCAGAUUCAGCUGAGGAACUUCCAGCUGAGCUGUGUUGGGAAAAUCCUUAUGUGAGUUGGAAUUUUAGAAGAAAAGCUCCAUUUUUUAGUUUCUUUAGUUGAAACCAGUGGUUCAAUGAAGCUCAGAGGCAAGGACUCACUGGGUGACCUUGCCAGGUAGGCAUUUGUGGGAAGAGCAGGAAGUCUUGGGCUGAGCUGGGGCUUAUCGGUAGACACUGGCCCAGCAUUCACGCGGCACUGGGCUCCCGAAAACAAAAACAAAAACAAAAACAAAAAACUCCUGAGUAUUCCUCAGGGACAGCGACAACUCCCUCCUGUACAUCGGUUAAUGAUUGGUUAACGGGGCAGCUCUCUCCCUUGGGAUGAACAUUCAGGAGAAGACAGCAGACCCCUCCUGGGUCCCCCAAACUACUUCCCAGGUGAGUUAUGGGUCCUGGGAAACUGCCUGAGUUGCUGCCUGGCUGUGGUGACGUUUCCCCGGAUGAUGCUGAUCACCAUGGAGGACCCUUCUCUCUCCAAGUCUGUCUUAGAUGAAAGGAAGGUUCAGCUCGAGUUGAGUGAGGUGGUGCAAGCCUGUAAUCCCAGUGACUGGGGAGGCUGAGGCAGGAGGAGCACAAGUUCAAGGCCAGCCCGUGAAACUCAUCAAGACCCUGUAUCAAAAUUAAAAAAAAAAAUUAAAAGGCUGGGUGUGUAGCUCAAUGGUAGGGCACCCCUGGGUUCAAUCCUCAGUACCAAAAAAAGUUUCAGUCAGGUGCCUUCUGAAAGAAAGGAUGAAGGCCAGCAUUCCCAAGAAUGGACAUCAAAUGGGCCGACAGGUCUGAGAUGUCCACUAGAGAAGGCAGCGUGGAAAGUGCAUGAGGGCAGGAUGGCCUAGAAUCAAGACCCUUUUUGAACCAUGGGCAAAUCCUCUAAUAAGAAAAGAAACUGAGAAUUUUAGGCGACGUCCAGGGAAAAUCACCACGGUCUGCUUGGGGGGGUGGCGGGAGGGAGAGGCUUUAGGAAAACUCUGAAAAUUCUUCAGUACGUUUUGCUUUUGCUCACUUAGAUUUAGAGGAAUCCACUGGCAAAAUGAAACUGAAAGCUUGCUUUCCCGCUGAGUCUCCUGCUGACCACAGGGUGUGAAUCUGCCCUUGACUCUAGACUGUCAGCGGGUUUCACUGCAUGAUUCUUUGGGGGUCGGCUUUGUCAACGUAUAAUUGAUGUACAAUAAACUUCACCAUUGUAAGUGCA